rnacentral:rRNA from 1 species
AGAGUUUGAUCAUGGCUCAGGAUGAACGCUGGCGGCGUGCUUAACACAUGCAAGUCGAACGAUGAUCCCAGCUUGCUGGGGGAUUAGUGGCGAACGGGUGAGUAACACGUGAGUAACCUGCCCUUAACUCUGGGAUAAGCCUGGGAAACUGGGUCUAAUACCGGAUAUGACUGCUGACCGCAUGGUCUGGUGGUGGAAAGAUUUAUCGGCUGGGGAUGGGCCCGCGGCCUAUCAGCUUGUUGGUGGGGUAGUGGCCUACCAAGGCGACGACGGGUAGCCGGCCUGAGAGGGUGACCGGCCACACUGGGACUGAGACACGGCCCAGACUCCUACGGGAGGCAGCAGUGGGGAAUAUUGCGCAAUGGGCGGAAGCCUGACGCAGCGACGCCGCGUGGGGGAUGACGGCCUUCGGGUUGUAAACCUCUUUCAGCAGGGACGAAGCGGAAGUGACGGUACCUGCAGAAGAAGCACCGGCCAACUACGUGCCAGCAGCCGCGGUAAUACGUAGGGUGCAAGCGUUGUCCGGAAUUAUUGGGCGUAAAGAGCUCGUAGGCGGUCUGUCGCGUCGGCUGUGAAAUCCCGAGGCUCAACCUCGGGUCUGCAGUCGAUACGGGCAAACUGGAGUGUUGCAGGGGAGACUGGAAUUCCUGGUGUAGCGGUGAAAUGCGCAGAUAUCAGGAGGAACACCGGUGGCGAAGGCGGGUCUCUGGGCAACAACUGACGCUGAGGAGCGAAAGCGUGGGGAGCGAACAGGAUUAGAUACCCUCGUAGUCC